rnacentral:rRNA from 1 species
AGGACGAACGCUGGCGGCGUGCUUAACACAUGCAAGUCGAGCGGAAAGGCCCUUCGAGGUACUCGAGCGGCGAACGGGUGAGUAACACGUGAGCAACCUGCCCCUGGCUCUGGGAUAGCCUCCGGAAACGGGGAUUAAUACCGGACAUGACCCUUGACCGCAUGGUUGGGGGUGGAAAGUUUUUCGGCCAGGGUGGGGCUCGCGGCCUAUCAGCUUGUUGGGGGGUGACGGCCCACCAAGGCGACGACGGGUAG